GGCAGCGUGGCAUAGUGGUUUGUGCAUUGGACUAUGACUCUGAAUAUUAGGGUUCAAAUCCUGGUUUGGCCA